rnacentral:rRNA from 1 species
CCGUUCAGGGGUAAACCUGCGAAACUCGAAUGAACGAACGGGGAGAUUCAUCGUCAUUCCGCGGCGUACCGUGCGGUGCCACGAUGUCACCGAUUUCGAUCGGGCGGCACGGGUCCGUGCGGUCGACGUUCGCGGACGGCGUGCACUUCUCCCUCAGUAAUACAUCGCGACCCGUUCGAUGUCGGUCUAAGCGCCGUUCGGGAGCCCCGUUGUGCCCUCACGGGUCGCAGCGGGACCGCGACGUGCGCCGACCGGCUGUCGUACGGUAUAAACAUUUGACGAAUCGCGCACGCGUUUCUAUGCGCGUCCGGCCCGACGCAAGGCAACGUCGUAUCCGAUUUCCUGCCCGAGUGCGGACGUUGGUGCGGCGCGCCUGUUGUCGCAGCCGUGCUGUCUCGGACAUGUGCGCGUCUCUGUCUGCGAUGAUUCAGUUUCGGGCACUCGC